CGGAGGAGGAGACUGGCCUUGGCGUAGCAAGAUUAUGGAGGGGGACACUGCUGAGAGCAAUGGCCAGGAGAAACAGCAGCCAUCACAGUCUACACCUUUUCUGGAUCAUAAAUAUCAGAAUUGUGUAGUUUGCUGGCACUUUUAAUCCUGCCUUUCAAUCACACCUCUCCAUAAUUUCCAACAUAAGCAUCCCCUGGGACUCAGUAGGUUCCCUACUGCAUCUUCUCCAAGAAAACUGAGUACUCCUAGUUACUAUUUGGUACAUAUGCACAAACUGCAGUCAGAGUUUUCAUUCUUGAGACGUGAAAUGUAAAACAUCUACUCUGAAAAAGAGGAAGGCUCGGGAAGGAAAUGAGGUCCAUGCAGUGGAGAGACAUAUGAAGACCUUCAUCAUGUCAUGUCGUGUCCCAGGGAAGUUGGUCUGUGAAAACUGCAUUAGAUCUGAGUCUUUAUAUCUUAAAGAUA
ensembl:lncRNA